CCUACGGGAGGCUGCAGUGAGGAAUAUUGGUCAAUGGGCGGAAGCCUGAACCAGCCAAGUAGCGUGCGGGAUGAAGGCCCUACGGGUCGUAAACCGCUUUUGCACGGGGAUAACACCCUCCACUUGUGGAGGUCUGCAGGUACCGUGCGAAUAAGGGCCGGCUAAUUCCGUGCCAGCAGCCGCGGUAAUACGGAAGGCCCGAGCGUUAUCCGGAUUCAUUGGGCUUAAAGGGAGCGUAGGCGGGCGCUCAAGUCAGCUGUAAAAUCGCGCGGCUCAACCGCGCCCCGCAGUUGAAACUGGACGCAUUGAGUUCACAACAGGCAGGCGGAAUUCGUGGUGUAGCGGUGAAAUGCAUAGAUAUCACGAGGAACCCCGAUUGCGAAGGCAGCCUGCCGGGGUGCGACUGACGCUGAGGCUCGAAGGUGCGGGUAUCAAACAGGAUUAGAUACCCGAGUAGUC
rnacentral:rRNA from 1 species